UUCUUCUUCUUGAUAUUUUCGCAUCUCUCAUUCCUCUAGAAAACUCUGCCGUGAAGUAGCAGCCAUGAGGGUUUGGGCAAGAAUGAUUGCCAUUUUUGGAAAAAAUGCAGUAAAUGCAAGGCAAAAAUUCGAUUAGGUUCUGCACAGGUACCGCCAUGAGGAAUACCUUGAGGGAUUUUCAGCUUCGAAACCAAGCACUCAGUCCGCCAUAGAUACUGCAAGGAAGGCAAAUGCAAACAAGGACGAAGCAGCAAGACGAAGGCAACACCAAGGCUACUCCAAUCGUUCCAGUCAUUCAGGCAAUGACUGGUUCCACUCUCAACAUGCUUUCUUUAUUUUUGUACUCAUGUAUACAUGUCUAUGUAUUUCCUUCCUGCACCUAAUGUAUGUAGCUAGUCUCACGGCUCUUUGUGUGGGACGCAUGUUUGAAUAUUAAUAAAAAUACUUCUCUUUUUUGAUGA